rnacentral:rRNA from 1 species
ACACAUGCAAGUCGAACGGGAAACAUUUCAUUGAGGCUUCGGCGGAUUUGGUCUGUUUCUAGUGGCGGACGGGUGAGUAACGCGUGGGUAACCUGCCUUAUACUGGGGGAUAACAGCCAGAAAUGACUGCUAAUACCGCAUAAGCGCACGGGGCCGCAUGGUCCUGUGUGAAAAACUCCGGUGGUAUAAGAUGGACCCGCGUUGGAUUAGCUAGUUGGCAGGGCAAUGGCCUACCAAGGCGACGAUCCAUAGCCGGCCUGAGAGGGUGAACGGCCACAUUGGGACUGAGACACGGCCCAGACUCCUACGGGAGGCAGCAGUGGGGAAUAUUGCACAAUGGGGGAAACCCUGAUGCAGCGACGCCGCGUGAAGGAAGAAGUAUCUCGGUAUGUAAACUUCUAUCAGCAGGGAAGAUAAUGACGGUACCUGACUAAGAAGCCCCGGCUAACUACGUGCCAGCAGCCGCGGUAAUACGUAGGGGGCGAGCGUUAUCCGGAUUUACUGG